rnacentral:rRNA from 1 species
CAGCCGUAAACUAUGCGCGUUAGGUGUAUCGGUGACCACGAGUCACCGAGGUGCCGAAGGGAAACCGUGAAACGUGCCGCCUGGGAAGUACGGUCGCAAGGCUGAAACUUAAAGGAGUUGGCGGGGGAGCACCACAACAGGUGGAGCCUGCGGUUUAAUUGGACUCAACGCCGGAAAUCUCACCGGAUAAGACAGCAGAAUGAUUGCCGGGCUGAAGACUCUGCAUGACUAGCUGAGAGGAGGUGCAUGGCGUAGACGUCU